rnacentral:sRNA from 1 species
CAUCUCCCUAUUACCCUUUGGUCGAGAGGGAAAGCAGAAGAAGUCUGCUGGUCACAGCGGGGCACCUCGAGGAGAGGACGACUAGGAGCACACGGCCCGGAAAGGUCCAGGUCAGGGAAGGGGUACGCAGUGGACCGGGACUGGGGCGCGAGGGUGGACGCCGAAAGGCAUGGAGUCUGCAGGCCGCACUGUCCCGCCCCUGUCACUGCGGGCGAGGCCUGUAGCAAAGCCUGCUGGGAAAAUGGUGGGCUUUCGGGAAGGAGGGGGCGACCGGGAAGCGGCGGAGUCGGGAGAGCCGGAGAGCCUCUGGGAAAGCGCAAGGUUGAGGACCUGGCCCCCGAAUCAGGAAAAGGCAGGUAUUGGAACCCACGGUCUGGGGGUUAGUCCAGCCGCUUAGUAUUCUGACUCUAUUCUGCCUUUCUUGUCUCCUAAGAAUAACUGUGCUUGAAGAAGAAAAUUCCCAACAUGGACAAACCACGCAAAGAAAAUGAAGAGCCGCAGAGCGCGCCCAAGACCGAUGAGGAGAGGCCUCCGGUGGAGCACUCUCCCGAAAAGCAGUCCCCCGAGGAGCAGUCUUCGGAGGAGCAGUCCUCGGAGGAGGAGUUCUUUCCUGAGGAGCUCUUGCCUGAGCUCCUGCCUGAGAUGCUCCUCUCGGAGGAGCGCCCUCCGCAGGAGGGUCUUUCCAGGAAGGACCUGUUUGAGGGGCGCCCUCCCAUGGAGCAGCCUCCUUGUGGAGUAGGAAAACAUAAGCUUGAAGAAGGAA